ACAAUGAUACUUCCGGCGACGGCUGUCCACAGGAAUGGGCGGGGGUCAUAUCCCAUGG
rnacentral:ncRNA from 1 species